ACUCAGACGAGUGCGUUUAUCAGCAGUGUUUUGAACAUGCUGUUCGGUGACACUCAAACUCAGUUGACUGUAUUUAAAUGCCCAUCUGUAGUUUACUGUGAGUGUUAAUAAAAGUAGGACAGGAGCCUUUUCUAUAAUUGUGAACCAAGACAUGUUAAUGGACCCAUGUUCUAAGUAUCUGUUGUCCAUUUAAAUAUCCAUUAAUGGGUGAAUAGUGGCUCAAAGUUUUAGACAACCAUGCUUUUUAAAAUGGUCCGGCUCUCAUUUGCUACUCGGUUCCCUGACAUGUGUCUGAAAUGCAACCUUCAGCUCUUUUGAGAAUUGGUCUUGAUAUACCAGAAUCAAUAACUAUGACCAGAAGGCAGUUUAGGGCUCUCGAGAGAACUCAGAUGUUGAUCAAUACCUGAAUGUAGUGCCCCAGUUGCACUUUAUAAAUUGGCUAUUAAAGCCUUAAAUUAUGAGGUCAUAGCUUAAGGAUGAAUUUUGUCAAGAUGUAAGGGGCAUUACAGUGAACGUCUGUGGGGUUUCUAUUGGUCCAGAUGUCAGCGCUCUUUAUUGGGACUUGAGCAGCAAACUUGUGUUUCUGUUCAUUUCUGAUUUUUAUUAUUUUUCUCAACAGGCUGAAGCGUAAAAGGAGAAAGAUGAGGCAGAGGUCAAAGUAAGCCCUCAUCCCCGCCAGCUGUGAUCCCGUCAGAGCCUCUCUAGAUUGACUCAUGUCUGACUGGAAGAGGCGAAGACGCUGGACAGAUCUCAACAUCAGAACUACAGCUGCCUUGUUCAUGGACCAUAAUACAUACGUUUACCAACAACUGUCAUUUGGUGUAUUGAACAAUAAAUGAACACUGUUAAAAGUUUAUCACAAGUUUCAGCCUCUUGAUUAUGUCUGUUACAAGAUUAGUCUGUAGUCUUGGAUAUUAAAUGAAUGUAUUGAUUGCGCAACAUGGAGCACAAAGUCAUGUAUAAUGUAGCUCUGGUUUUGUGAGUUGGUGUGAACAUAAAUUGUAGCAGCAUGUAAAACUACUUAUGGACCACAAACUGAC
rnacentral:lncRNA from 15 species